rnacentral:rRNA from 1 species
UUAUGGCGUCAGGAUGAACGCUGGCGGCGUGCCUAACACAUGCAAGUCGAACGGGACUGAUUCUACGGAGAUCGUCGAAGCAGAUGAAAGUUUAGUGGCGGACGGGUGAGUAACGCGUGGGUAACCUGCCUCAUAGAGGGGGACAACAGCUGGAAACGGCUGCUAAUACCGCAUAAGCCCACACUGCCGCAUGGCAGAGGGGGAAAAGAUUUAUCGCUAUGAGAUGGACCCGCGUUUGAUUAGCUAGUUGGCGGUAUAACGGACCACCAAGGCGACGAUCAAUAGCCGGACUGAGAGGUUGAACGGCCACAUUGGGACUGAGACACGGCCCAAACUCCUACGGGAGGCAGCAGUGGGGAAUAUUGCACAAUGGGGGAAACCCUGAAUGCAGCGACGCCGCGUGGGUGAAGAAGUUUUUCGGAAUGUAAAGCCCUAUCAGCAGGGAAGAUAAUGACGGUACCUGACUAAGAAGCCCCGGCUAACUACGUGCCAGCCGCCGC